GCCGGGAUGGCGGAACUGGUAGACGCGCUGGAUUCAAAAUCCUGUGAUGGUAACAUCAUGUCGGUUCGAUUCCGACUCUCGGUA
rnacentral:tRNA from 1 species